rnacentral:rRNA from 1 species
UAGGGAAUAUUGGACAAUGGGGGCAACCCUGAUCCAGCCAUGCCGCGUGAGUGAAGAAGGCCCUCGGGUUGUAAAGCUCUUUUGUCCGGAAAGAAAAGCUUCGGGUUAAUACCCCGGGGUUCUGACGGUACCGGAAGAAUAAGCACCGGCUAACUACGUGCCAGCAGCCGCGGUAAUACGUAGGGUGCGAGCGUUAAUCGGAAUUACUGGGCGUAAAGCGUGUGCAGGCGGUUUUGUAAGACAGAUGUGAAAUCCCCGGGCUUAACCUGGGAACUGCGUUUGUGACUGCAAGGCUGGAGUACGGCAGAGGGGGGUGGAAUUCCACGUGUAGCAGUGAAAUGCGUAGAGAUGUGGAGGAACACCGAUGGCGAAGGCAGCCCCCUGAGCCUGUACUGACGCUCAUGCACGAAAGCGUGGGGAGCAAACA